rnacentral:rRNA from 1 species
CCUACGGGAGGCAGCAGUGGGGAAUAUUGCACAAUGGGGGAAACCCUGAAGCAGCGACGCCGCGUGAGUGAUGAAGGCCUUAGUUAUGUAAAGCUCUAUUUGUAGGGAAGAAAAUUACGGUACCUGAGGAAUAUUCUCCGUCUAACUCCGUGCCAGCAGCAGCGGUAAUACGCAGGGAGCAAGCGUUAUCCGGAUUGACCGGGCGUAAAGGGAGCGUAGGCGGGAGUGCAAGUCUGCAGUGAAAGGCGGGGGCUCAACCACAGGACUGCUGUGGAAACUGUACGGCUGGAGUGCGGGAGAGGUAGGUGGAAUUCUUGGUGUAGCGGUGAAAUGCGUAGAUAUUAGGAGGAACACCGGUUGCGAAGGCAGCUUACUGGACUGUAACUGACGUUGAGGCUCGAAAGCGUGGGGAGCAAACAGGAUUAGAUACCCUAGUAGUC